GUGGUGCAUGGUUGUCGUCAGCUCGUGUCGUGAGAUGUUGGGUUAAGUCCCGCAACGAGCGCAACCCCUGCUGCCAGUUGCCAUCAUUAAGUUGGGCACUCUGGCGGGACUGCCGGUGAYAAAUCGGAGGAAGGUGGGGAUGACGUCAAAUCAUCAUGCCCCUUAUGUCUUGGGCUACACACGUACUACAAUGGCCGUUACAGAAGGAAGCGAAGCCGCGAGGCGGAGCGAAUCCCMAAAGGCGGCCCCAGUUCGGAUUGCAGGCUGCAACUCGCCUGCAUGAAGUCGGAAUUGCUAGUAAUUGCAGGUCAGCAUACUGCAGUGAAUACGUUCCCGGGUCU
rnacentral:rRNA from 1 species